rnacentral:rRNA from 1 species
UGGGGAAUAUUGGACAAUGGGCGAAAGCCUGAUCCAGCCAUGCCGCGUGUGUGAAGAAGGUCUUCGGAUUGUAAAGCACUUUAAGUUGGGAGGAAAGGCAUUAACCUAAUACGUUAGUGUUUUGACGUUACCGACAGAAUGAGCACCGGCUAACUCUGUGCCAGCAGCCGCGGUAAUACAGAGGGUGCAAGCGUUAAUCGGAAUUACUGGGCGUAAAGCGCGCGUAGGUGGUUUGUUAAGUUGGAUGUGAAAUCCCCGGGCUCAACCUGGGAACUGCAUUCAAAACUGACUGACUAGAGUAUGGUAGAGGGUGGUGGAAUUUCCUGUGUAGCGGUGAAAUGCGUAGAUAUAGGAAGGAACACCAGUGGCGAAGGCGACCACCUGGACUAAUACUGACACUGAGGUGCGAAAGCGUGGGGAGCAAACA